GUGACAGCCGCCGCGGUAAUACGUAGGGGGCAAGCGUUGUCCGGAAUUAUUGGGCGUAAAGAGCUCGUAGGCGGUUCAGUAAGUCGGGUGUGAAACCCCCAGGCUCAACCUGGGGACGCCACCCGAUACUGCUGUGACUAGAGUCCAGUAGGGGAGUGUGGAAUUCCCGGUGUAGCGGUGAAAUGCGCAGAUAUCGGGAGGAACACCAGCGGCGAAGGCGGCACUCUGGGCUGGAACUGACGCUGAGGAGCGAAAGCGUGGGUAGCAAACAGGAUUAGAUACCCUGGUAGUCC
rnacentral:rRNA from 1 species